GCCAGCGUGGCAUAGUGGUUUAAGUGUUGGACUAUGACUCUGGAGACCAGGGUUUGAUUCCCAUCUUAGCCA